AUUGAACGCUGGCGGCAUGCUUUACACAUGCAAGUCGAACGGUAACAGGUUAAGCUGACGAGUGGCGAACGGGUGGGUAAUGCAUCGGAACGUGCCCGAUCGUGGGGGAUAACGCAGCGAAAGCUGCGCUAAUACCGCAUACGAUCUGAGGAUGAAAGCGGGGGACCGUAAGGCCUCGCGCGAUCGGAGCGGCCGAUGUCAGAUUAGGUAGUUGGUGGGGUAAAGGCUCACCAAGCCAACGAUCUGUAGCUGGUCUGAGAGGACGACCAGCCACACUGGGACUGAGACACGGACCAGACUCCUACGGGAGGCAGCAGUGGGGAAUUUUGGACAAUGGGCGAAAGCCUGAUCCAGCAAUGCCGCGUGCAGGAAGAAGGCCUUCGGGUUGUAAACUGCUUUUGUACGGAGCGAAAAGGCCCUCUCUAAUACAGUGGGCUCAUGACGGUACCGUAAGAAUAAGCACCGGCUAACUACGUGCCAGCAGCCGCCGUAA
rnacentral:rRNA from 1 species